rnacentral:rRNA from 1 species
ACGACGGCGGAAUGAGCGGCGGACGGGUGAGUAACACGUAAAGAACCUGCCCAUAGGUCUGGGAUAACCACGAGAAAUCGGGGCUAAUACCGGAUGUGUCAUCGGACCGCAUGGUCCGUUGAUGAAAGGCGCUCCGGCGUCGCCCAUGGAUGGCUUUGCGGUGCAUUAGCUAGUUGGUGGGGUAACGGCCCACCAAGGCGACGAUGCAUAGCCGACCUGAGAGGGUGAUCGGCCACACUGGGACUGAGACACGGCCCAGACUCCUACGGGAGGCAGCAGUAGGGAAUCUUCCACAAUGGACGAAAGUCUGAUGGAGCAACGCCGCGUGAACGAUGAAGGCUUUCGGGUCGUAAAGUUCUGUUGUAAGGGAAGAACAAGUGCCGCAGGCAAUGGCGGCACCUUGACGGUACCUUGCGAGAAAGCCACGGCUAACUACGUGCCAGCAGCCGCGGUAAUACGUAGGUGGCAAGCGUUGUCCGGAAUUAUUGGGCGUAAAGCGCGCGCAGGCGGCCUCUUAAGUCUGAUGUGAAAGCCCCCGGCUCAACCGGGGAGGGCCAUUGGAAACUGGGAGGCUUGAGUAUAGGAGAGAAGAGUGGAAUUCCACGUGUAGCGGUGAAAUGCGUAGAGAUGU